rnacentral:rRNA from 1 species
GGCUCAGGACGAACGCUGGCGGCGCGCCUAAUACAUGCAAGUCGAGCGAGAAGGUGUAGCAAUACACUUGUAAAGCGGCGAACGGGUGAGGAAUACAUGGGUAAUCUACCAUCGAGUGGGGAAUAACCAGCCGAAAGGUUGGCUAAUACCGCGUACGCCUCCGGAUCUUCGGGUUCGGAGGGAAAGCCACACUGUGAGUGCGGCGCUCUUUGAUGAGCUCAUGUCCUAUCAGCUUGUUGGUAGGGUAACGGCCUACCAAGGCUUUGACGGGUAGCUGGUCUGAGAGGACGAUCAGCCACACUGGCACUGCGACACGGGCCAGACUCCUACGGGAGGCAGCAGUAAGGAAUAUUGCGCAAUGGACGAAAGUCUGACGCAGCGACGCCGCGUGGGGGAUGAAGGUCUUCGGAUUGUAAACCCCUUUCGGGAGGGAAGAUGGAACGAGCAAUCGUUCGGACGGUACCUCCAGAAGCAGCCACGGCCAACUUCGUGCCAGCAGCCGCGGUAAUACGAAGGUGGCAAGCGUUGUUCGGAUUCACUGGGCGUACAGGGUGUGUAGGCGGUUUGGUAAGCCUUCUGUUAAAGCUUCGGGCCCAACCCGGAAAGCGCAGAGGGUACUGCCAGGCUACAGGGUGGGAGAGGAGCGCGGAAUUCCCGGUGUACCGGUGAAAUGCGUAGAGA